rnacentral:lncRNA from 1 species
UGUUCAAUUAUUCUAAAAACAAGAGUGCACACGCUGAAAUGUCUCGCCUUCUAUACUAAUCAUUGAUAUUAUGUUGAUAGUCCUAAGUAUAAAGCUAAGCUUUAUAACAACUGUACCAUAAACUUAACAUUAACCAAGAUAACUAAACAAAGACCAAUGAACCUUGAAAAUGAGGUCAAGGUCAGAUGAACCAUGCCAGGCAGACAUGUACAGCCAACAAUGCUUCUAUACAACAUAUAUAGU